GGAGGGGUGUCCGAGCGGUUGAAGGUGACGGUCUUGAAAACCGUUGAGCCUGAAAGGGUUCCGUGGGUUCGAAUCCCACCCCCUCCGCCA
rnacentral:tRNA from 1 species